rnacentral:rRNA from 1 species
GGACUACCCGGGUAUCUAAUCCUGUUUGCUCCCCACGCUUUCGCACCUCAGCGUCAGAUCUGGACCAGUUAGCCGCCUUCGCCACUGGUGUUCUUCCCAAUAUCUACGAAUUUCACCUCUACACUGGGAAUUCCACUAACCUCUUCCAGCCUCAAGGUCGCCAGUAUCAAAGGCAGUUCCGGAGUUGAGCUCCGGGAUUUCACCCCUGACUUAACGACCCGCCUACGUGCGCUUUACGCCCAGUAAAUCCGAACAACGCUAGCCCCCUUCGUAUUACCGCGGCUGCUGGCAC